GAGGCAGGGCAGGCAACAGGCACGUCUGAGUCCAUUUCUCAGCUGAAAUCUACAAGAAACUGAGGACCUCAAUCCCCCAACCCUGGAGCAAUGCAGUCCUGCCGGUAUGCUUGUAGGGGUGCUCAGAAGCAGACCCUUCCCCACCUGAGCCUUCAGAUGAGUCCUCAUCCCUGGCCAGUACCUGAGUGUGGACUUGUGAGUGAGCCAAGCCAGCCAUGCCACACAAAGAUUCCUGACCCACAAAAACUGUGAGAUGAUAAAUGUGCAUUGAUUCAAGCUGCUAAGUUUGGGGGCAACUUGUUACACAGCAGGAGAUAACUACUACACCACCACCAUGAUCUGUUUUUUGGCCUUUGAACGUAUCUCAUUUAUUCUUUUUUUAAAUUCUGUUUUCCUCUCCAAGAUUGCCACCCAGUGUCUGUCCAAUUCCUCACCCACAAGUCAGUUUCCACUUUCCCUCUGAGCCCUUCUGAUUUUUUCCACUCAUGAUGGUUUUUCUCUUCCACAAGACACAGAAUUUAUUGUCUCAGCUGUGCCAUUCCAAGAUCAGGGUUUCUUUAAGCAUUCCCCCGGCCUUGGAAUAGCACAGCUCAAAACAAGGUACAAAUGG
rnacentral:lncRNA from 10 species